GGAGAUGUGGCUUAGUGGAUAAGAGUGCUUGCUGUGUAAGCAUGAGGACCUGAGUUCAAAUCCUCAGCACCCACA
rnacentral:tRNA from 2 species